rnacentral:rRNA from 1 species
UACGGGGGGGGGUAAGCGUUGUUCGGAAUUACUGGGCGUAAAGGGCUCGUAGGCGGCCAACUAAGUCAUACGUGAAAUCCCUCAGCUUAACUGGGGAACUGCGUGUGAUACUGGAUGGCUUGGAUUUGGGAGAGGGAUGCGGAAUUCCAGGUGUAGCGGUGAAAUGCGUAGAUAUCUGGAGGAACACCGGUGGCGAAGGCGGCAUCCUGGACCAACACUGACGCUGAGGAGCGAAAGCCAGGGGAGCAAAGCGGG